rnacentral:rRNA from 1 species
UACGGAGGGUGCGAGCGUUGUCCGGAAUCACUGGGCGUAAAGGGCGCGUAGGUGGCGUCGCAAGUCAACGGUGAAAGCUCGACGCUUAACGUCGAGUCGGCCGUCGAGACUGCGAGGCUCGAGCACUGUAGAGGCUCAUGGAAUUCCGGGUGUAGCGGUGGAAUGCGUAGAGAUCCGGAAGAACACCGGUGGCGAAGGCGGUGAGCUGGGCAGUUGCUGACACUGAGGCGCGACAGCGUGGGGAGCAAACAGG